rnacentral:rRNA from 1 species
AUACGGAGGGUGCAAGCGUUACUCGGAAUCACUGGGCGUAAAGCGCGCGCAGGCGGCUUGAUAAGUUGGAUGUGAAAGCCUACGGCUCAACCGUAGAACUGCAUCCAAAACUGUCAGGCUAGAGUGUGGGAGAGGAAGAUGGAAUUAGUUGUGUAGGGGUAAAAUCCGUAGAGAUAACUAGGAAUACCAAAAGCGAAGGCAAUCCUCUGGAACACUACUGACGCUGAGGCGCGAAAGCGUGGGGAGCAAACAGGAUUAGAAACCCGAGUAGUCC